GACGAACGCUGGCGGCGUGCUUAACACAUGCAAGUCGAACGGAAAGGCCUGCUUUCCCUUGUGGAUUGCGGGUACUCGAGUGGCGAACGGGUGAGUAACACGUGAGUGAUCUGCCCCCAACUUGGGUAUAAGCCUGGGAAACUGGGUCUAAUUCCCGAUAGGACUGCAGGGUGGUGCCUGUGGUGGAAAACGAUUUUCUAGUGGUUGGGGAUGAGCUCGCGGCCUAUCAGCUUGUUGGUGGGGUAAUGGCCUACCGAGGCGGCGACGGGUAGCCGGCCUGGGAGGGGGGACGGGCACAUUGGGACUGAGAUACGGCCCAGACUCCUACGGGAGGCAGCAGUGGGGAAUAUUGCGCAAUGGGCGGAAGCCUGAUGCAGCGACGCCGCGUGGGGGAUGACGGCCUUCGGGUUGUAAACUCCUUUCGACCGCGAGGAAGCCACCUGGUUGGAAGGGUGGUGACGGUAGUGGUAGAAGAAGCACCGGCUAACUACGUG
rnacentral:rRNA from 1 species